GGGCCUUUAGCUCAGCUGGGAGAGCGCCUGAUUUGCAUUCAGGAGGUCAGGAGUUCGAUCCUCCUAAGGUCCACCA
rnacentral:tRNA from 1 species